ACAUACGACCAUAGGGUGUGGAAAACAGGGCUUCCCGUCCGCUCAGCCGUACUUAAGCCACACGCCGGCAGGUUAGUAGUUGGGUGGGUGACCACCAGCGAAUCCCUGCUGUUGUAUGUA
rnacentral:rRNA from 1 species